GUUGGUGUAGUUCAAUGGCAGAAUACCGGAAUUCAGUCCCGGAGAUCCAGGUUCAAUUCCUGCGCACCGGCC